rnacentral:rRNA from 1 species
UCCAGCAGCCACAUCACCCUGCAACUCACCACUGGCAGCCCACUAGCUCAGCAGGUGUGAGCCGGGCCAGUACCUGGAUGAGAGACCUACUGGGAGAGCUGAGGCUGUUGCUGGAA